CAGACACUGCAUGCAUAGAAGAAAAUGGCUUUUACAAUGCUCAGAUUUCAGGUUGUCCUUACCUUUAUUAUUGUGUCUUUAAGCUGGAACGGAAUUGAUGGUCAAACACUGACUGAGUCUGAAUCAGUGGUUAAAAGGCCUGGAGAAUCUCACAGACUGACCUGCACAUAUUCUGGAUUUGGUGGUAAUAGCUGGAACGCUUGGAUCAGACAGGCAGCUGGAAAAGGACUGGAGUGGGUCGCUACUAUCAGUGACACCAGCAGCUACAUCUACUACUCUGACUCAGUAAGAGGCCGGUUCACCAUCUCCAGAGACAACAGCAGAAGUCAAGUGUAUCUGCAGAUGAACAGCCUGACAGCUGGAGAUUCUGCUGUUUAUUACUGCGCUCGAGAGACACAGUGACACAGAAAGCAGAAACACUGAACAAAAACUCCUCAGAGCAUGAAUAGUUUAACAAGAAGCCACCACAGGGAGAGCCAUCAGACCAAAAAUAAACUUGGAUAUAUUUGCAGUAAUUGCUGGAUGGGUAUGUAGGUAGAUAU